rnacentral:lncRNA from 1 species
UAAUAAAAAGCGAUGUCACAAAGGAUGAUGAAGAAGUAUCUACUCUGGAAUUACUUCGUACAAAAAAAGAAGGUGGAGAACUGUCAGAGAAAUCAAAACAAAGACCUGAUUGAAAAAAUAUGAGAAAUUAAGUGGCCAUAAAUCACUAUGUUCAAAUGGUCUUCAUCUAAAACUUCUGAAAGAGUUAAAGAAGGAUGUAGCUAAGCUACCACCAAAAAUGUAUCAACACCUUCCAUCAAAGAGGAGGGUGAUGAAUGCCCAUCAAUCUUUAAGAACAGUUCAGUGUUACUUGUAAGGUUAGGUUUUAAUAAAAAACAUGGUGUUGUCUAGAAUUAUUCAAGUCUUUAAAAAGGAGUGUAUUUGUCCCCUUGUGGAAACUGUGUACUUUUACAAUUAGUUGUUUCUGGAAAAGUUUCUCCACACAUAGCCUUUCUUUCUUGUUUUGUUUGUUCUGUUGUUGUUUUUAUUGUAAUUUUUAAGUGUUUCUACAUGAGUUUACUACCCUGAACAUUACUGAACACUGC